rnacentral:lncRNA from 10 species
CUGGGUUUUUAGUGUUCUUGGUGUUCUGUGUAUCUCUGUGCCUGUCUCCACAAGGGGCAUCCAGGGACCAACUUUGAGAACCUGCCCUUGUUCCCCUGGCUUUUGGGGAAACAUCCUCCAGCCAUCCCGGAGGAUAGGGCAGGAUGAAGUGCCAGCAGCAGCAGAGAAGAGACUGCAUUAGGAGUAACUGCUCCCCCACCACCAGGUGAGGGACUCUGUUGGGUCCUGCAUACGAAUGGAACCACUGAUGCCAGCUGGUCUGAAGGACCCCACAGGAGCUGACUCACCGAAGAACACAGCUUGUACACCCUGAUGGUUUCAUCCUCCUUAUCCUGACCAAUCAACAACCUCAAUCUUCUAUCCCUCACCCUCCACAAUCUCCUUAAAAACCCCAGCUCAGAACUCCUCCGGAAGAUGGGUUUGGGGGUCUCCACUCAUCCCUUGCUCCAUCCCUGUGAUCAUUAAACUCUUUCUCUGCUACAAAUCUUGCUGUCUUGGUGUUACUGCUCUGUUAUUGUACAGCGGGCAUAUGCAUCCGUUGGUCCUGUAACACCAUUUAUGGUGCUUUGUUAUAGCAGUCUGUAUGGACUAAGACACAUAGUUGAGAG